GCUACUCAAUGAAGAAUCAUACCAAACUAUAUCGUUAGUAGUGAGAUACAUGAGUCUCUGAGACCAUCUUAGACAUUGUCUGUUCUCCACAAAAGAAGGCGUUCGAGGGAAGUGCGAAAUAAACCACUUGUACGGAAGAGGAACACAUCACACAAUAGUCUCACCACCUUUAGAAUUCCAUAGAUGCAAAGAGCCUUACAUAUUACCCAACAAAGUAGGCACAUGAUUUU
rnacentral:lncRNA from 1 species